rnacentral:rRNA from 1 species
CCUACGGGAGGCAGCAGUGAGGAAUAUUGGUCAAUGGACGCAAGUCUGAACCAGCCAUUCCGCGUGCAGGAAGACGGCUCUAUGAGUUGUAACCUGCUUUUGUACGAGGGUAAACGCAGAUACGCGUAUCUGUCUGAAAGUAUCGUACGACUAAGGAUCGGCUAACUCCGUGCCAGCAGCCGCGGUAAUACGGAGAAUUCAAGCGUUAUCCGGAUUUAUUGGGUUUAAAGGGUGCGUAGGCUGUCGGAUAAGUUAGAGGUGAAAUCCCGAGGCUCAACUUCGGAAUUGCCUCUGAUACUGUUCGGCUAGAGAGUAGUUGCGGUAGGCGGAAUGUAUGGUGUAGCGGUGAAAUGCUUAGAGAUCAUACAGAACACCGAUUGCGAAGGCAGCUUACCAAGCUACUUCUGACGUUGAGGCACGAAAGCGUGGGGAGCAAACAGGAUUAGAUACCCUUGUAGUC